CACCUGCACUGUGGAUAUCUGCGCGUAACUAGGGAUACACUCUGUAUCAUCUGAAUGUGGAUAUAUCAUGGACUGGGAAGAAAUAUGUAAGGGAGUCGUUAUAGUCGGAGGGGGUGCUGGCACUGUGGCUCUGGCUCCAGCCGCUCUGGCUGCACUGGGGUUCACUCCAGCUGGAAUAGCAGCAGGCUCCAUCGCUGCCAAACUGAUGUCAUAUUUUGCAGUUGCUAAUGGAGGAGGAGUUGCAGCAGGCGGUCUCAUAGCAACCCUGCAGUCCUGGGGUAUGGGAGGUCUGACGGGAGCUGCCACUGGAGGUUUUGCUGGUGCUGGAGGAACAGUGGGUUGGCUGCUCUCAACCAUUUGUAACCAGACUGGAACGCGUUAAGAUUUACAUCAUGAACAAAUGUCAGACACUCCGCUUCAGGCAAAAUUUGAAAAUUAAGUUAAAUAUAUGGUGGAUUAAGAUUACUGCUAUUUUGAAUCCAUCAUUUUUAUAUAUCAUUGUAGAGGAUGAAGCUGUUUGAUCUGAACCCAAGACUGAUACGAUGCACUUUCUGAAUUUAA
rnacentral:lncRNA from 1 species